UACGAAGGGGGCUAGCGUUGCUCGGAAUCACUGGGCGUAAAGCGCACGUAGGCGGAUUGCUAAGUCAGGGGUGAAAUCCUGGAGCUCAACUCCAGAACUGCCUUUGAUACUGGCAACCUUGAGUCCGGGAGAGGUGAGUGGAACUGCGAGUGUAGAGGUGAAAUUCGUAGAUAUUCGCAAGAACACCAGUGGCGAAGGCGGCUCACUGGCCCCGGUACUGACGCUGAGGUGCGAAAGCGUGGGGAGCAAACAGG
rnacentral:rRNA from 1 species